UGGAGGAGGAAGAGAAGGGAAUGGGCAGAGUGGGUGGGCUCUCUGAUUGACAUCUCUCACAGCCAAUCCAGAUAUUUAUGGAGUAACAUGAGUUUCCUGAAGCUUGGGGAACUGACCAGUGAAACGGAGGCGACUUUGAGCAGCAAAUCAGUGCCUGGGAAGAUGGGGGCUGGGUGGAGGAAAGAAAUUAACAACGUUGUCUGCUCCUGGUCAGAAUCCAGUGACCUUGCUGGAAACAGAGGGUGUGUGACAGUCAUGUAAGGAAAAGAAAGGGCUUGCACCUGAUUCCCCCACACAAGGGAAUACCAGACUAGAACUCACUGUGAAACAAUCUCUAACUGAGGAGUCAGCCCUUCGGCAAAGGAGGAGAGGGAGUUGGAGGAAAUCAUGUUUCCUUUUCCUGUUUACAGAAGGAUUGCACCUUACUACACCAGAGAAUACAGAGAGGAUAGACACCACAGAUAAAUCCUGACCAUCAACCAAGGAACAAUUGCACAACUGUGGGAAGACAUCCAGACCCUUCACAGCAUUGCUCAGCACAGAAGGUUGGGCAGUAAAACCAUCAUCUGGAAAUCGUUUGGGUCAGGGGAACUUUGACAUAUCAUCAGAUCUGAAAUUGGUCAGUGGUGUGGAACCUUCCAUCAGAGCCAACCUUUCCAAAGGUUCAGCUGUGGGCGAUCAGUCAGGGUGAGGCUGGGAAGAAGUGUGAGUGGGCUCCAAGUGUGGUGAGAGCUUCAAUCAUUCAAGCCUCAUAAACCACUGACUCAUUCCUACAAGUGAGGGGCUGUUCAAGUGUGAUGUGUGUGAGGAGGGAUCCACUGGCUCAUAAGAUCUCCUAGCAUAUAAGGUGCAUCUGUUUUAUCACCUGUAACACAACUGCAGCUACAUGGUAGAGAAACCAUUCAAGUGUGAGAUGUGCAACCAAGCCUUCGCCCAAUCAUCAACACUCAUGAAUCAUCAACACAACCACGCUGGGGAGAAACCGUUCAAGCGUUGAGGUUUCUAACAGGCUCUUUGCACAGUCAUCGACCCUGGUGAGUCACUGGCGUAUUCACACAGGGGAGAAACCAUUCACUUGUGAGGUGUGCAACAAAUCAUUCUCCAUGUCGUUGACCUUCCACGUACACCAAUGCAUUCAUACCGGGGAGAAACCAUUCAAAUGCGAUGUGUGCAACAAAUCCUUCUCGAGCUCAUCGAAGCUCCUGCUACAUCAGAGGAUUCACAUGAGAGAAACUGUUCAAAUGUGAGAUGUGAGACAAGGCUUUCACAGUCAGCGUAUCUCCUGGUCCAUCAACACACUCACACAGGGGGAAGGAAGUGAUCUUUGUGAUAGAGAGGGUAUGGGUUCAGAAGCUCUGUUGGAGGUUGAAUAGAACAAAUAUUGUUGGAGAUGAGAUUGGAGGGGAAACGGAGAGGACUUUAAAAAAUGUUGGAACCUGAGUAAUCCCUCCAGUCUUUUAAGUAAUUCAGGUAUAUCAUGGCUGAUCUGUACCUGCCUUGGCUCUGUAGCCCUGAACCUUCCCUAAUAAAAUUCUAUCAAUCACAGUUUUAAAAUUUUCAAUUGACUUCCAGGUCAAAUUUUUCUGUGGAGUUCCAGAUUUCCAUUACUGUUACAAUGUCUAGUUUUGAUGUUACAAAUUUUUAGAAGAAUUGUUUUGAAAGUCACAUUUUGUAAAUGUUGGACUGAGUUUUAAAACUGUUUCCAAAAUAAACUCCAAGUGUCAUGUGAUUUUCUCCUUUUGGAUUCGGGCUGUAACCCCUUCAGCCAGACAAAGAGGAGGCAUCCUCAGACAUAUACCUUUAAAAUUCAAUGAGUGGUCCAAAAGAGUAAAGAGAAGCUCAUUGACUUGAUGGCUUUUCCACCAAACACAAAAAAACUAAAAAGUCACUGUAAAGCGUGAACAACCUUGGCCCUUUGAUCACUUCACGGGGUAAGGAGACUUCGGAUAACUGUAAUGGAAUUACCACAUGCCUUUUUGGAAAGUGACUGGGCUUUCUUGUACAGGUCACAUGGUAAUAGUGGUCAUCUUGUCUUGCCUGCAAAAAGCAUUGAAAAGGGCUGGUAAAGGCAGAUCCACCUUGAAGAUGGUUCAACCUAGGGAGAGACAGAGAAAGGCAUCUAAGAAAGAUCCUCGUCUGAUGUAAAGUAAUUAGGUAGCUAAAUGUGCCACACCAGCAGAAGGAACCUUCUCUCCUCCCUGUAAAUCAGAUUCCACCUACAAAUCUCACCUGUUAAAGCAAUCUCAGGCAAUUUGACAGUAGAAACCAUCAUAGCUGCAGAGACAUCUCUACAAUACCAAGACCUUCACUUCUGACAAUGCAACAUCUCGAUUUCAAAACCUAUCAGGCCUGUACCGAAUAUAGACUAAAUGGAACCAAUGUUUAUAAGUAUUGUUUUAUCUUAAUCUGUAAUUAAUCUUUGUGUGUAUUUGUGAGUUGUAUCAUUUUUCCUUAAGGAACUUCCAGAGCAAGAGUUUUGAAAUAAACUAACCUAUCCUUUUCAAGUA